rnacentral:rRNA from 1 species
UACGAAGGGGGCUAGCGUUGCUCGGAAUCACUGGGCGUAAAGCGCACGUAGGCGGAUUGCUAAGUCAGGGGUGAAAUCCUGGAGCUCAACUCCAGAACUGCCUUUGAUACUGGCGACCUUGAGUCCGGGAGAGGUGAGUGGAACUGCGAGUGUAGAGGUGAAAUUCGUAGAUAUUGGGAAGAACACCAGUGGCGAAGGCGGCUCACUGGUCCGAUACUGACGCUGAGGUGCGAAAGCGUGGGGAGCAAACAGG